rnacentral:lncRNA from 1 species
AUGGGUAUGGAGACGGGGGUGGGGGUGCUCAAGCUACAGAGAAGGAAACGGGUGCUUUCUCGGAUUCACCCAAGGAGCGAGCACUUGCCACCAGGAUACUGGCCCGGGUUUUAUGUGGAGGCUGGAGGGGAAUGUAGGGCUCGCGAGCACAGGUUUGGGGGCCCAGAGUGCAUGGUCGCUUCCGCCCCCGAGCUACGACAAGCAGCUGGAGGUGGGCGGCUGCCGGAGUCCAACAUGGCCGCCGCGGCGAUCACGCAAGCGUGCUCUUGCUUGGGCGGAGCCUCCGGGCGCACCCCUUCCCGCCUUUGGAGGAGGGGCUUUGAACAGUGUGUGGCGCUGACCUGCGAACAGAUCGUUCAUCGCUGGAAGAAAGGCGAGUGGGCUGGGGCACUACCUAACCGUCUAAGGAGUUUCAACUCUAACCGGAAAGGGGUGGGUGGGGCGGCCCAAGAAGUUUUGGCCUGCCCCGCCCCCCAACGCCCUCUAUGCCUCUGCCGGGAUGUUCGGAAACCAGGGAUACACAAAUACCAUUGUGUUACAACUGCCUACGGUAUCCAGUACGGUGCUGCUCAGGUUUGUAGACUCCCUUUGUCUUUUCUUUUCUUUUUUUUUUUUUUGAGACAGAGUUUCACUCUUGCUGCCAGGAUGGAGUGCAAUGCUGCAAUCUUGGCUCACCAAAACCUCCACUUCCCAGGUUCAAGUGAUUCUCCUGCCUCAGCCUCCCAAAUAGCUGAGAUUACAAGCAUGCACCACCAUGCCCGGCUAAUUUUGUAUUUUUAGUAAGAGAUGGAGUUUCUCCAUGUUGGUCAGGCUGGUCUCAAACUCUCGACCUCAGGUGAUUUGUCUGCCUCAGCCUCCCAAAGUGCUGGGAUUACAGGCGUGAGUCACUGCGACCGGCGCUCCCUCUGUCUCUUUCCCAGUUGCUCCACUCAGUUUACCAUUUCCUCCUGGUGCCUAAAAAUGUCUGAGUUUGUGAACUCAGCUCUAAAAUUCCCUUCCUGUCUUUGUUGCCUGUUGUUCAUGCUGGCAUGGAAUGGAAAAGCCUUGAAGGAGAGCCUGCCAGCCUCUCAGGUUGGCUUUGCAAGGGGGAUCACCACAGGUAAGACAGACCUGGCCCUAAGGCUCAAACCACCCUAUUUGCAAAAAGUCAGUGAUAUUAGCUAACCUGAUUUUUAAAGUGUCUUCUAUCUUCCCAUGGCACGUUCUGCUCUUUUACAUUGCUACUAUUAUUUUUUAAAUUAGAGAUGUGGUCUUGCCAUGUGUCUGCCCAGGCUGGUCUUGAACUCCUGGGUUCAAGUGAUCCUGCCACCUCAGCCUCCCAAGUAGCUGAGACUACAGGCAUCCAGCACUCCACCCAGCUUCUUUUACAUAGUUUUUAAAUGGUUGCAAAGUCCUAUAUUAUAUAUAUGUACUGUGAUGAAUUUUGUUCUUAACUGAUUCCCUAUUGUUGGACAUUUAUGUAACUUCCAAGCUGUUAUUAACCAGCAUGCC